UAAGUCCUGCAAGUCACCGCUUUAAUUUUUUAUGAUUUUCUAUUUAAUUUCAGGUGAUGUGACGGACAACAUGAGAUUCUCCUCGUCAUUGUUGAAGUUCUGUGUUGUGUCAACUCUUCACAUAGUUGCAUUUGAUCAUCCCGACGAGGAGCCUAAUUUGAUCAUUUCUGAUCUAGCGUACACAGAUUUUCCCUUAAAUCAAAUAUAAGGUUUUUCUGCAGACGAUGCCGUGUAGUGGCGUGGGUAUCGCUGAUGCUGGGUGACGUCAAGAUGAACGCUUAGCAGCCUGCGGAUCCCGAAACACUCAUUCGCUGGUAACCUGCUGUAACAGAUGCUGAGUGAAGUGAAUAUCUUGCAUUUCCAACUGGAUCUUUCACAUAGCUUUGAAACUGCAAAGUUUAGACUGGCCAAGAGGGAGGAUUGUUUUUGUUGGAAUGUACUUUUAAGAUAAAUCAAGUAGGUUAGUAUAUUGCUUACGUUUUAGUCUGCGUAUGUGUGCUAAAGAGUCGUACACUCGUACGUUAUUUUAGAAUGUUUAAAAUUAGAUUUAGGUAUAUUUUCAACAUGUUCCAACUGAUGACGUGUUUAUUAAUUAUUUUUCAAUUACCAUUGUAGAGUUCAACCUGCACCCG
rnacentral:lncRNA from 1 species